rfam:Candidatus Roizmanbacteria bacterium RIFCSPLOWO2_02_FTLL_43_10 rifcsplowo2_02_scaffold_9972, whole genome shotgun sequence.
GGGGAUGUUCCGGAUUCGACGUGAAGAUCGAUGUUUUUGCAAAUGGCUAGGGCGAACCUAUUCGAGAAAUAGGAAACCAAUAUAUACAGACAAACUAACUGCAGCACUUGAAAGAGGUGUUUUUGCAGAUGGUGCUGGGACGGCCUCCUCUGGGGGUUACGUUCCCGCUUUCGCAUUUGCUUCCUAAAGUGCCCUCUAUCGUUUACACCUGUGCGGCGAUAGAUGACAACUAUGCGGGUUGCUCUAUGAAGGAUUGCGGCACACCUUUGUAGCGCAUAAUCAACGUGUCGACGAACUGAUAUGCCUUGUGCAUGUGACAUAUCAGCACACCGAAAACAUGUUCUAUCUCUAGCUAAACGUUUCUUAAACUUCCUUUGCGGACGCGGGUUCGACUCCCGCCAUCUCCACAU